UUCCGGUUGAUCCUGCCGGAGGCUACCGCUAUUGGAGUUCGAUUAAGCCAUGCGAGUCGCGAGUCUUAGGGACUCGGCGUACCGCUCAGUAACACGUGGGUAACCUGCCCUAUGCUGGGGGAUAACCUCGGGAAACUGAGAAUAAUACCCCAUAGUUCACCACGCCUGGAACGGUGGGUGGAUGAAAGCUCCGGCGACAUAGGAUGGGCCUGCGGCGUAUCAGGUUGUAGGGGGUGUAAUGUACCCUCUAGCCAUCUACGCGUACGGGUGUUGGGAGACAUCGCCCGGAGAUGGAUUCUGAGACACGAAUCCAGACCCUACGGGGUGCAGCAGGCGCGAAAACUUGGCAAUGCGAGCAAUCGUGACCAGGGAACUCCAAGUGCAUCGGGUAAGACCGAUGCUUUUCUUGACUCUUCAAAGGUCUUGGAAUAAGGGGUGGGUAAGGACGGUGCCAGCCGCCGCGGUAAUACCGGCGCCUCAAGUGGUAGUCGCUUUUAUUGGGCCUAAAACGUCCGUAGCCGGUUUGGUACAUUCGUGGGUAAAUCAAGGCGCUCAACGUCUUGAAUUCUGCGAGCACGGCCAGACUUGGGACCGGGUGAGGUGUGGGGUACUCUCAGGGUAGGGGUAAAAUCCUGUCAUCCUGAGAGGACCACCUGUUGCGAAGGCGCCACACUAGAACGGAUCCGACGGUCAGGGACGAAGCCUAGGGGCACGAACCGGAUUAGAUACCCGGGUAGUCCUAGGUGUAAACGCUGUGGACUUGAUGUUGGGAGUGCUCCGAGCACCCUCAGUGUCGAAGCGAAGGUGAUAAGUCCACUGCCUGGGGAGUACGGUCGCAAGGCUGAAACUUAAAGGAAUUGGCGGGGGAGCACUGCAACCUGAGGAUUGUGCGGUUUAAUUGGAGUCAACGCCGG
rnacentral:rRNA from 1 species